UACAGAGGUCUCGAGCGUUAGGCGGAAUCACUGGGCUUAAAGCGUGUGUAGGCGGAUCGUUAAGUACCUUGUGAAAUCCCACGGCUUAACCGUGGAACUGCUUGGCAUACUGGCGGUCUUGAGCCAGCUAGGGGCGACCGGAACAAAUGGUGGAGCGGUGAAAUGCGUAGAUAUCAUUUGGAACGCCAAUGGUGAAAACAGGUCGCUGGGGCUGUGCUGACGCUGAGACACGAAAGCCAGGGGAGCAAACGGG
rnacentral:rRNA from 1 species